AUUCCCCAGGUUGUUGCUGUAAAUGAGAAUGUGUUCUCAGUCAACUUACCUGGAUAAAAUGGAAACAAGGUCCAUUUACCAUUUUACUAUGAAAUGUCUCAGUAAGAACCUUAUAAUUACAUAUUGUAAAGUGCUAUCUACAAAGAGACAACUCACCAUGACAAACAAGUUAGGACCUUCAAAACACAGGCAAACAGCAACCACUAGCGGCUGUUCAGGCUACUUAUUAAUCUGAUAGUCAUUCAGUUCUCAAGAAAUGAAACUAGAUUUCCUACGUAGGGUGUGGCUAAAGACUUCAGUUACAAAAAGGCUUUGUUUACACAGACAGCCUAAUUCUGAUAUUUUUGACCAAUCAGAUCAGCUCUGAAAAAGAUCUGAUGUGAAAAGGUCUGACGUUAUUGGUCAGAAGACCAACUAGUGGAAAAAAGAUCAGAAAUGGGCUGCCAGUCUAAACACAGCCUUAAGGAUCAGAGUCAGUAUGUAUAGAUAAAAACAUACGAUUGGGACAUUUCAGCUGCCAUACAGUGGGAGACAUCAACUGAAGGCCGCCAAUCUGAAACUCUACAAUCAAGCAGCAAGUCUCCAAACAAAGACCUGAGCCCUAGGACCAUGCCUCGGGAAUACGUAGUCUGAUGACCCCUUUCUGUCCCCAGUCCACCUGGUCGUGCUGCUGUUCCAGUUUCAACUGUUCUCCUUGCGGCUAUGGAACCCUGACCUGUUCACCGAAUGUGCUACCUGUCCCAGACCUGCUGUUUUGGACACUCUCUCUACCGCACCUGCUGUCUCUAACUCUGAAUGAUCGGCUAUGGAAAGCCAACUGACAUUUACUCCUGAGGUGCUGACCUCGAUCCAACUCAAGAGACAUGGAUUGCGUAUGUGUGCCAUUCAGAGUGAAUGGGCAAGGCAAAAUAUUAAAGUUCCUUCAAACGGGGUAUGGUAUUAGGUGCCAUGGGCACCGGUUUGUGUCAAGAACUGCAACGCUGCUGUUUUUUUCACUCAACAGUUUCCCGUGUAUCAAGAAUGGUCCACCACCCGAACAAAGGGCAUCCAGCCAACUUGACACAACUGUGGGAAGCAUUGGAGUGAACAUGGACCAGCAUCCCUGUGAAAUGCUUGACACCUUGUGGAGUCCAUGCUCCAAUGAAUUGAGACUGUUCUGAGGGCAAAAGGGGGCACAACUUAAUAUUAGGAAGGUGUUCUUAAUGUUUUGUACACUCAGUAUCCAUUGUUUCCAUGAACAGCUAUUUCUACAUUAUUAUAUAUUUUUUUACAUAUGA